UGUUGCCCAGGUUGUUCUUGAGCUCCUGAGCUCAAGCAAUCUACCUAACUUGGCCUCCCAAAGUGCUGAGAUUACAGGCAUGAGCCUCCAUUUAUUACCCAGAGCAUUUUCUGAAAAUUCAGUGAGAUAAAUGUCAUAAUAAGCUGUCCCCUAGUCCUGAGUAAAUGCUGGGCAGGUUUUAGUUGUACAAGUUGUAUUUAUUCAUCUCUACACUUCCAUCUUGCCAGGGAGGGUGUGGUGAGAACUGGCUCAAUGGGCUUGAAAGCGGGCCACCUGAAAGGGGGCUGGCUCUGUGAGUACCAUCGUGUUUAGGGAUGCUUAGCUUGGGGCCAGGACAUCAUUUCCUAGGAACAUUGACAGAUGGAUUACUUGCUUAAUUCCCAGAGGCAUAAGCCAGAUCUGGCACGUAACCCCUGUGGAACCGGAGACAGUGACAAGAACAACCCUGUCCUAGGCUGGAAUUUCCUAUGGAUGACAAGUAUUUGUUCAGCACCUGCUGUGCAUUGUUUUAUGUACUGAGGAUUCAGCAGCCCACCUGGAGCUGACAUUCUAAUGGAGAAACUAAGAAAAUUGGGAAUACAUAGCCAGCAGAAUUUCAAAACCAAAGAAACACCAAGGAAGAAAAGUCAUGGAAAAAGAAAAACAAAAAAUAAAAAAGCAUUAUGGAAGUAGGCAGAAAUACUAGCCUACAGGGAAAACAAAACUGGGAAGUUAAAUAAUUUCUCUCCAAGACUUGCUAAAUCUUGGUUUUGUGUAACUUCCAGUCCUAUGGCCAAACCUUUACUGUGCCUUAAAGGCUUUGAUGGUUAAUUUAAAAAAAGAUGCUGGUUACCA